AGAUGUUCUUGGCGCAGUAAUGAUCUGCCAAUAACCCUCUUUUCUUAGAGCCCAUGACUUCCCAACUUCUUCAUCUGAUCUGCUGCUCAUCCAAGGAGUACUCUUCUAAUUUUUAAGUGACUCAAUGUCAAGUCAUGGUAGCUAGGAGCCUCCUCAGAUGUUGAGUCCCAGGUUCCCUCACUUGACUUAUGCUUUAUUGCUAAGAUCAAUCAUCUCCCUCAGACAUAUUUUGCAAAUAAUUAAGCCCAACCGUUUUUUCCUGGUGGCAAUAACUCUGCAGCCAAUUUUUGCUUUAAUCCCUCUAAUUCUAGGAUUCUCUCUUGUUCUUACCAGCAUCGUCACCUGACAGCAGCAGAAGACUGGGUUGUGGUCCUAAACUGCAGCCCUGAUCACUGCUUGGCAUAGAUGUUCUGGGAGGCCCAGUAUCUGCCCAGCUACCUUGCCAGGCAUUUCUAGCUCUAGGAGUGAGUAUUUCUGUACUCUGCUUUCCUUCCUAACAGUCCACCCCGGGAGCCUUUUAUUAAGUAUUUCUCAUUGUACUUUC
rnacentral:lncRNA from 1 species